UGGGCCAGAGGGUCCUAAGCUUCAGCUCUGCUUCUUCCACGCUCGGCACCCAGUCCCUAAGCAGGAGCAGUGGCGGGAAGGCCUCCGGCCUGGGAUCCCCCGCUGGGAACCGAGCGCCCAGAGGGACCUGUUUCCUGCUCGCCCACUAACACCUGGAUUUGCAGGUGGGGCCUCUUGCGUGGGUUUGUGACAGAUGCCGAAAAUAAGGAUUUCUCCGAGUCAGUCACAGCUGGGUGUUGACCCGAUCCCCCCACCCCCAAGCAGGAGGAGAAACAAAAAUCGCCAGCCCACAGGGAUCCCAUCCUCAGGGCCCUGAGAUCCCAUCUGACCUGUAUCCUUCCCGCCCCCCGGCAGGGCUGCUGCAGAACUGGGCCGCCCCACCUGCAGCACAUCCCAUUUCCCCAGCCCCUCCAAGGGCAGCCCCAACUCUAGGCCGUCCCUCCUCGUAGGAAAAUGUCUUUCUGGCGUUCCACGGCGGGAACUCCAACUUCCCCAAUUUUCUCUACUUGUGACUUUUCUUCUUUAGAUAUAUCUAUGGUGCUAGAUCUUCCUAGGUAUUCCCUGGCCUAUGGAAGUAAAUGACUACAGAGGAAUCUCCAGAAAGGGGGCAAGUCACGUGAUGCUGCAGAAAGAGUGUAGCUUUAAAGAGAGGAGCCUAAAAUUCUGACUCCACCGUUUCCGAGCUGAACUAUCUGGUGCAAGUAUUUUCCCUUCUCUGAGCCUGUUUCCUCAACAUGAAAUCUAUUUUGUACGAUAACAAUUAAUA